rnacentral:rRNA from 1 species
AUUGAACGCUGGCGGAAUGCUUUACACAUGCAAGUCGAACGGCAGCACGGACUUCGGUCUGGUGGCGAGUGGCGAACGGGUGAGUAAUGUAUCGGAACGUGCCCAGUCGUGGGGGAUAACGUAGUGAAAAUUACGCUAAUACCGCAUACGAUCCAUGGAUGAAAGCGGGGGAUCGCAAGACCUCGCGCGAUUGGAGCGGCCGAUAUCAGAUUAGGUAGUUGGUGGGGUAAAGGCCCACCAAGCCAACGAUCUGUAGCUGGUCGGCGAGGACGACCAGCCACACUGGAACUGAGACACGGUCCAGACUCCUAUGGGAGGCAGCAGUGGGGAAUUUUGGACAAUGGGCGAAAGCCUGAUCCAGCCAUUCCGCGUGCAGGAUGAAGGCCCUCGGGUUGUAAACUGCUUUUGUACAGAACGAAAAGGUUUCUACUAAUACUAGGAGCUCAUGACGGUACUGUAAGAAUAAGCACCGGCUAACUACGUGCCAGCCGCCGCCGUAA